GACGAACGCUGGCGGCGUGCUUAACACAUGCAAGUCGAACGGAAAGGCCCUGCUUUUGUGGGGUGCUCGAGUGGCGAACGGGUGAGUAACACGUGAGUAACCUGCCCUUGACUUUGGGAUAACUUCAGGAAACUGUGGCUAAUACCGGAUAGGAGCUCCUGCUGCAUGGUGGGGGUUGGAAAGUUUCGGCGGUUGGGGAUGGACUCGCGGCUUAUCAGCUUGUUGGUGGGGUAGUGGCUUACCAAGGCUUUGACGGGUAGCCGGCCUGAGAGGGUGACCGGCCACAUUGGGACUGAGAGACGGCCCAGACUCCUACGGGAGGCAGCAGUGGGGAAUAUUGCACACUGGGCGGAAGCCUGAUGCAGCAACGCCGCGUGCGGGAUGACGGCCUUCGGGUUGUAAACCGCUUUCGCCUGUGACGAAGCGUGAGUGACGGUAAUGGGUAAAGAAGCACCGGCUAACUACGU
rnacentral:rRNA from 1 species